rnacentral:rRNA from 1 species
AUUGAACGCUGGCGGCAGGCCUAACACAUGCAAGUCGAGCGGAUGAAGGGAGCUUGCUCCUGGAUUCAGCGGCGGACGGGUGAGUAAUGCCUAGGAAUCUGCCUGGUAGUGGGGGAUAACGUCCGGAAACGGGCGCUAAUACCGCAUACGUCCUGAGGGAGAAAGUGGGGGAUCUUCGGACCUCACGCUAUCAGAUGAGCCUAGGUCGGAUUAGCUAGUUGGUGGGGUAAAGGCCUACCAAGGCGACGAUCCGUAACUGGUCUGAGAGGAUGAUCAGUCACCCUGGAACUGAGACCCGGUCCAGACUCCUACGGGAGGCAGCAGUGGGGAAUAUGGGACAAUGGGCGAAAGCCUGAUCCAGCCAUGCCGCGUGUGUGAAGAAGGUCUUCGGAUUGUAAAGCACUUUAAGUUGGGAGGAAGGGCAGUAAGUUAAUACCUUGCUGUUUUGACGUUACCAACAGAAUAAGCACCGGCUAACUUCGU